AACGCGAAGAACCUUACCAAGGCUUGACAUGAACCGGAAAAACCUGGAAACGGGUCCCCCACUUGUGGCCGGUUUACAGGUGGGGCAUGGGUGUCGUCAGCUCUGGUGGCGAGAUGUUGGGUUAAGUCCCGCAACGAGCGCGACCCUCGUUCCAUGUUGCCAGCGCGUUAUGGCGGGGACUCAUGGGAGACUGCCGGGGUCAACUCGGAGGAAGGUGGGGACGACGUCAAAUCAUCAUGCCCCUUAUGUCUUGGGGUUCACGCAUGCUACAAUGGCCGGUACAAAGGGUUGCGAUACUGUGAGGUGGAGCUAAUCCUAAAAAGCCGGUCUCAGUUCGGAUUGGGGUCUGCAACUCGACCCCAUGAAGUCGGAGUCGCUAGUAAUCGCAGAUCAGCAACGCUGCGUGGAAUACGUUCCCGGGCCUUGUACACACCG
rnacentral:rRNA from 1 species